CCCAAUGAUAUCUCUAGAAGGCAUCUGAAAGAGAUUAAAGAUUUAUCGGUGAUGGAUGGGGAUGCGUCUGAUUAGCUUGUUGGCGGGGUAACGGCCCACCAAGGCAACGAUCAGUAGGGGUUCUGAGAGGAAGGUCCCCCACAUUGGAACUGAGACACGGUCCAAACUCCUACGGGAGGCAGCAGUGAGGAAUAUUGGUCAAUGGACGAGAGUCUGAACCAGCCAAGUAGCGUGCAGGAAGACGGCCCUAUGGGUUGUAAACUGCUUUUAUAAGGGAAUAAAGUGAGUCUCGUGAGACUUUUUGCAUGUACCUUAUGAAUAAGGACCGGCUAAUUCCGUGCCAGCAGCCGCGGUAAUACGGAAGGUCCGGGCGUUAUCCGGAUUUAUUGGGUUUAAAGGGAGCGUAGGCCGGAGAUUAAGCGUGUUGUGAAAUGUAGAUGCUCAACAUCUGAACUGCAGCGCGAACUGGUUUCCUUGAGUACGCACAAAGUGGGCGGAAUUCGUGGUGUAGCGGUGAAAUGCUUAGAUAUCACGAAGAACUCCGAUUGCGAAGACAGCUCACUGGAGCGCAACUGACGCUGAAGCUCGAAAGUGCGGGUAUCGAACAGGAUUAGAUACCCUGGUAGUCCGCACGGU
rnacentral:rRNA from 1 species